rnacentral:rRNA from 1 species
CCUACGGGAGGCAGCAGUGAGGAAUAUUGGUCAAUGGACGAGAGUCUGAACCAGCCAAGUAGCGUGAAGGAUGACUGCCCUAUGGGUUGUAAACUUCUUUUAUAUGGGAAUAAAACGUUCCACGUGUGGGAUUUUGUAUGUACCAUAUGAAUAAGGAUCGGCUAACUCCGUGCCAGCAGCCGCGGUAAUACGGAGGAUCCGAGCGUUAUCCGGAUUUAUUGGGUUUAAAGGGAGCGUAGGUGGAUUGUUAAGUCAGUUGUGAAAGUUUGCGGCUCAACCGUAAAAUUGUAGUUGAAACUGACAGUCUUGAGUACAGUAGAGGUGGGCGGAAUUCGUGGUGUAGCGGUGAAAUGCUUAGAUAUCACGAAGAACUCCGAUUGCGAAGGCAGUUCACUGGACUGCAACUGACACUGAGGCUCGAAAGUGUGGGUAUCAAACAGGAUUAGAUACCCGAGUAGUC